rnacentral:rRNA from 1 species
GUAGGUGGCAAGCGUUGUCCGGAAUUAUUGGGCGUAAAGCGCGCGCAGGCGGUCCUUUAAGUCUGAUGUGAAAGCCCACGGCUCAACCGCGGAGGGUCAUUGGAAACUGGGGGACUUGAGUACAGAAGAGGAAAGCGGAAUUCCAAGUGCAGCGGUGAAAUGCGUAGAGAUUUGGAGGAACACCAGUGGCGAAGGCGGCUUUCUGGUCUGUAACUGACGCUGAGGCGCGAAAGCGUGGGGAGCAAACAGGAUUAGAUACCCUGGUAGUCCACGCCGUAAACGAUGAGUGCUAAGUGUUAGGGGGUUUCCGCCCCCCUUAGUGCUGCAGCUAACGCAUUAAGCACUCCGCCUGGGAGUACGGCCGCAAGGCUG